GAUGCUCUAGAUUAGAGUUUGAUCCUGCCUCACAUUGACGCUGGUCGCAGGCCUAACACAUGUCAGUCCAGCCUAUGACGCGAGCUUGCUCCUUGAUUCCCCGCCCGACGGGUGCAUUAAUGCCUAUGAAUCUGCCUGGUCCUGGGGGACAACGUUUCGUCAGGAACGUUAAUACCUUCCACUUCCUACUUGAGAAAGCUGGGACCUCCCCGGCCUUGACCUAUCCGAUGAGCUUAGGUCGGAUUACUUUGUUGCCGAGGUAAUGGCUUACCUCGGAUACGAUGCGUAACUGGCCCGACCCGAUGAUCAGUCACACUGCCUCUGAUACCCGCUCCAGACUCCUACCGGACGCAGCACUGGGGAAUAUUGGACAAUGGGUGAAAGCUCGAUCCCUUCCUGCCUCGCGUGUGAAGAACGUCUUCGGAUUGUAAAUCCCUUUAACUUGGUCGGAACGCUCGUAAGUUAAUACCCUGCUGUCCUCACAUUCCCGACAGAACACGCACCGGAUCAUUUUGUGCCAGCACCCGCGGUAAUCCAGAAGCGGUGCAAGGGUUCCUCGGAAUUACUGGUUUUCCAGCGCGCGUCCAGGUGGUUUGUUAAGUUGGAUGUGAAAGCCCCUGGGCUCAACGUGGGGGCUGCCUCCAAAACUGUGUAAGCUUGCGUACGGUUGAGGGUGGUGGAAUUUCCUCGUGUAGCUGUCGAAAUGCGUCGCUAUCGGAAGGAACAUCCAGUGGCGAAGGUUACCACUUGGACUGAUACUGACACUUGAGGUGCGAAAGCGUGGGGAGCAAACAGGAUUAGAUACCGUCGGUCGUCUCACGCCGUAAACUGAUGUCAACUGGCCGUUGGAAUCCUUGAGAUUUUAGUGGCUUCAGCUAACGCAUUCAGUUGACCGCCUGCGGGAGUACGGCCCGCACGGUUCAACACUCUAAAAUGGAAUUCGACUGGUGCCCGCAUAAGCGGUGGCAGCAUGUGGUUUGAAUUCGCUAGCAACGCGUAGAACCCUUACGCACGUCCUCUGACAUGUACGACGUACUAUUCCAGAGAUGUGAGUAUGGUGCCUCUCGUGGAACUACUGCACACUAGGCUGUCUGCAUAGGCUNGUCUGUCAGCUCGUGUCGUGAGAUGUUGGGUUAAGUCCCGUAACGAGCGCAACCCUUGUCCUUAGUUACCAGCACGUUAUGGUGGGCACUCUAAGGAGACUGCCGGUGACAAACCGGAGGAAGGUGGGGAUGACGUCAAGUCAUCAUGGCCCUUACGGCCUGGGCUACACACGUGCUACAAUGGUCGGUACAGAGGGUUGCCAAGCCGCGAGGUGGAGCUAAUCUCACAAAACCGAUCGUAGUCCGGAUCGCAGUCUGCAACUCGACUGCGUGAAGUCGGAAUCGCUAGUAAUCGCGAAUCAGAAUGUCGCGGUGAAUACGUUCCCGGGCCUU
rnacentral:rRNA from 1 species